UACGGAGGGUGCGAGCGUUGUCCGGAAUCACUGGGCGUAAAGGGCGCGUAGGCGGCCUGAUAAGUAGGGGGUGAAAUCCUGCGGCUUAACCGCAGGGCUGCCUUCUAAACUGUCAGGCUAGAGCACAGUAGAGGCAGGUGGAAUUCCCGGUGUAGCGGUGGAAUGCGUAGAGAUCGGGAAGAACAUCAGUGGCGAAGGCGGCCUGCAGGGCUGUUGCUGACGCUGAGGCGCGACAGCGUGGGGAGCAAACAGG
rnacentral:rRNA from 1 species